rnacentral:misc_RNA from 1 species
CAAGUAUAUCCAUUUUCAGUUCGAUUUGGAUAUACUUGAAUCAAUAACAGGGUCUUAAUUCUUAAAGGUUACUUUACAAAAACUUGCAAAUUCAAAAGAAGAUAGAUACAUAAAAUGUAAAGGCUAAAUUAGAUCUUGCCACGUGGCCCGAGCUUUGGUGGAAGUUGAGGGCCCUUCUUGAUUGGCAGAAUGUCACCAGAAGCUGUAGCACUCAGGUAAGCAAGGGUGGAGCCACCUCCCAAGAUCAAGAACUUGAGCAGCAAUCCUCUCUUGGUGAAUGGCGCUGCAAAUGUCUCGAAAAACUUGCUCUGAAGAGGGUUGUAGGGAGAAGGUGCAUCUGAUCCGUACAAGUCCCACUGCCCAGUAGUGUUGCCCAGAUCGUCCAAAUCAAAGUACACACUCUUAUCACCAUACUUUGCUACCACAGCGCCACUCCUCAUGUUUUUGGGUCUCAAGCUCUGGCGAGAUGGCUUGACACAGAGCUUUGUUCCAGUGAGGGAACUACCACCAAGGCCCUUGACGGUGGCAGUUUGCACGGACGCAAAGGUUGCUAGAGAUGCCAUUGCCCUGGUUUUGGUUCGCAGCCAGCUGAAGUCUUUCUCUAUGUUUCAGCAGGC